GCCAGACUCCUACGGGAGGCAGCAGUGGGGAAUAUUGCACAAUGGGGGAAACCCUGAUGCAGCGACGCCGCGUGAGUGAAGAAGUAUUUCGGUAUGUAAAGCUCUCUCAGCAGGGAAGAAAAUGACGGUACCUGACUAAGAAGCCCCGGCUAACUACGUGCCAGCAGCCGCGGUAAUACGUAGGGGGCAAGCGUUAUCCGGAUUUACUGGGUGUAAAGGGAGCGUAGGCGGUGAUGCAAGUCAGAAGUGAAAGCCCGCAGCUCAACUGCGGGACUGCUUUUGAAACUGUAUGACUAGAUUGCAGGAGAGGUAAGUGGAAUUCCUAGUGUAGCGGUGAAAUGCGUAGAUAUUAGGAGGAACACCAGUGGCGAAGGCGGCCUGCUGGACGAUGACUGACGUUGAGGCUCGAAAGCGUGGGGAGCAAACAGGAUUAGAUACCCGUGUAC
rnacentral:rRNA from 1 species